rnacentral:misc_RNA from 1 species
AAGAGUUGCAAAACUCCCAAACCAUCGUGAACUUAUCCUUCAGUGUUGCUUCGGCGGGCGUCCCCGGGGAGGGGACGCAGCCCAAAGCCCCGAGAGGGGCGGCGGGCGCCCGCCGGAGGUACCAAACUCUUCUGUAUUAUAGUGGCACUUCUGAGUAGACAAGCAAAUAAGUCA